rnacentral:rRNA from 1 species
AGCGUUGUUCGGAAUUACUGGGCGUAAAGCGCACGUAGGCGGAUACUUAAGUCAGGGGUGAAAGCCCGGGGCUCAACCCCGGAAUUGCCUUUGAAACUGGAAGACUUGAAUCUUGGAGAGGUCAGUGGAAUUCCGAGUGUAG